AGAGUUUGAUCCUGGCUCAGAUUGAACGCUGGCGGCAGGCCUAACACAUGCAAGUCGAGCGGUAGCACAGAGAGCUUGCUCUCGGGUGACGAGCGGCGGACGGGUGAGUAAUGUCUGGGAAACUGCCUGAUGGAGGGGGAUAACUACUGGAAACGGUAGCUAAUACCGCAUAACGUCGCAAGACCAAAGUGGGGGACCUUCGGGCCUCAUGCCAUCAGAUGUGCCCAGAUGGGAUUAGCUAGUAGGUGGGGUAACGGCUCACCUAGGCGACGAUCCCUAGCUGGUCUGAGAGGAUGACCAGCCACACUGGAACUGAGACACGGCCCAGACUCCUACGGGAGGCAGCAGUGGGGAAUAUUGCACAAUGGGCGCAAGCCUGAUGCAGCCAUGCCGCGUGUAUGAAGAAGGCCUUCGGGUUGUAAAGUACUUUCAGCGGGGAGGAAGGCGAUAAGGUUAAUAACCUUGUCGAUUGACGUUACCCGCAGAAGAAGCACCGGCUAACUCCGUGCCAGCAGCCGCGGUAAUACGGAGGGUGCAAGCGUUAAUCGGAAUUACUGGGCGUAAAGCGCACGCAGGCGGUCUGUCAAGUCGGAUGUGAAAUCCCCGGGCUCAACCUGGGAACUGCAUUCGAAACUGGCAGGCUAGAGUCUUGUAGAGGGGGGUAGAAUUCCAGGUGUAGCGGUGAAAUGCGUAGAGAUCUGGAGGAAUACCGGUGGCGAAGGCGGCCCCCUGGACAAAGACUGACGCUCAGGUGCGAAAGCGUGGGGAGCAAACAGGAUUAGAUACCCUGGUAGUCCACGCCGUAAACGAUGUCGAUUUGGAGGUUGUGCCCUUGAGGCGUGGCUUCCGGAGCUAACGCGUUAAAUCGACCGCCUGGGGAGUACGGCCGCAAGGUUAAAACUCAAAUGAAUUGACGGGGGCCCGCACAAGCGGUGGAGCAUGUGGUUUAAUUCGAUGCAACGCGAAGAACCUUACCUGGUCUUGACAUCCACAGAACUUAGCAGAGAUGCUUUGGUGCCUUCGGGAACUGUGAGACAGGUGCUGCAUGGCUGUCGUCAGCUCGUGUUGUGAAAUGUUGGGUUAAGUCCCGCAACGAGCGCAACCCUUAUCCUUUGUUGCCAGCGGUUCGGCCGGGAACUCAAAGGAGACUGCCAGUGAUAAACUGGAGGAAGGUGGGGAUGACGUCAAGUCAUCAUGGCCCUUACGACCAGGGCUACACACGUGCUACAAUGGCAUAUACAAAGAGAAGCGACCUCGCGAGAGCAAGCGGACCUCAUAAAGUAUGUCGUAGUCCGGAUUGGAGUCUGCAACUCGACUCCAUGAAGUCGGAAUCGCUAGUAAUCGUAGAUCAGAAUGCUACGGUGAAUACGUUCCCGGGCCUUGCACACACCGCCCGUC
rnacentral:rRNA from 1 species